GGGUGCGAUCAUACUGGCAUUAGUGCACCGGAUCCAAUUUGAACUCCGUAGUUAAACGUGCUUGGGCGAGAGCAGUACUAAGAUGGGUGACCUCUUGGGAAGUCCUCGUGUUGCACUCC